rnacentral:rRNA from 1 species
AUUGAACGCUGGCGGCAUGCCUUACACAUGCAAGUCGAGCGCGAAAGGGGGCAACCCCGAGUAGAGCGGCGGACGGGUGAGUAACACAUCGGAACGUGCCCAGUAGUGGGGGACAACCUCGAGAAAUCGAGGCUAAUACCGCAUACGACCCACGGGUGAAAGCGGGGGACCGCAAGGCCUCGCGCUAUUGGAGCGGCCGAUGUCCGAUUAGCUAGUUGGCGGGGUAAGAGCCCACCAAGGCGACGAUCGGUAGCUGGUCUGAGAGGACGACCAGCCACACUGGGAUUGAGACACGGCCCAGACUCCUACGGGAGGCAGCAGUGGGGAAUUUUGGACAAUGGGGGCAACCCUGAUCCAGCCAUGCCGCGUGCGGGAAGAAGGCCUCGGUUGUAACCGC